UACGUAGGGAGCAAGCGUUGUCCGGAAUCAUUGGGCGUAAAGCGCGCGUAGGCGGCCCUGUAAGUCCGCUGUGAAAGUCAAAGGCUCAACCUUUGAAAGCCGGUGGAUACUGCAGGGCUAGAGUCCGGAAGAGGCGAGUGGAAUUCCUGGUGUAGCGGGUGGAAUGCGCAGAUAUCAGGAGGAACACCAAUAGCGAAGGCAGCUCGCUGGGACGGUACUGACGCUAAGGCGCGAAAGCGUGGGGAGCGAACGAG
rnacentral:rRNA from 1 species